rnacentral:rRNA from 1 species
UACAGAGGUCUCAAGCGUUGUUCGGAUUCAUUGGGCGUAAAGGGUGCGUAGGCGGCGCGGUAAGUCGGGUGUGAAAUCUCGGGGCUUAACUCCGAAACUGCAUUCGAUACUGCUUGACUCGAAGGCAGGAGAGGGAAGUGGAAUUCCGGGUGUAGUGGUGAAAUGCGUAGAUAUCCGGAGGAACACCAGUGGCGAAGGCGACUUUCUGGCCUGUUCUUGACGCUGAGGCGCGAAAGCUAGGGGAGCAAACGGG